rnacentral:rRNA from 1 species
GACGAACGCUGGCGGCGUGCUUAACACAUGCAAGUCGAACGGAAAGGCCCUGCUUUUGUUGGGUGCUCGAGUGGCGAACGGGUGAGUAACACGUGAGUAUCCUGCCCUUGACUUUGGUAUAACUUCAGGAAACUGGGGCUAAUACCGGAUAGGAGCUCCUGCUGCAUGGUGGGGGUUGGAAAGUUUCGGCGGUUGGGGAUGGACUCGCGGCUUAUGAGCUUGUUGGUGGGGUAGUGGCUUACCAAGGCUUUGACGGGUAGCCGGCCUGAGAGGGUGACCGGCCACAUUGGGACUGAGAUACGGCCCAGACUCCUACGGGAGGCAGCAGUGGGGAAUAUUGCACAAUGGGCGGAAGCCUGAUGCAGCAACGCCGCGUGCGGGAUGACGGCCUUCGGGUUGUAAACCGCUUUCGCCUGUGACGAAGCGUGAGUGACGGUAAUGGGUAAAGAAGCACCGGCUAACUACGUG